GGGCAGACAUAUUUGAUGCUAAAUUUUCUAUUCGUAAAAUUUCGUGUAAUUUUGUUUUCGACUGUGAAGUGAAAACUAUUUUCUUAUUGAUAUAGGUUCACUCAAUUCCUUACUUGAUGACUCCUUAGUGUGUAUUUCCUGAUUUUGAAUAUCAGAUGACAUCCCAGUACUGGUAGGAGCAGUGCUAUUACUGGCUGACCGGCCCUCCAUGUCUGCAACUUCAACAUCGGAAGGUGUUUGUGCGCGAUUCGACGCUAAAUUUUAACCCGUUAACGAAACGAAAAAUAUAUAUAGUGUGCGAAUCGAUAAAGUGGUUUGCCAAAAGGAAGGAAUAAAUAACAAAAAAACAUAUUUCUUCAAUUUUUAUAACAAAUAUGUAUUUCAAACUACAAAUAUGUGUUUCCAAAAUGGAAAUGCUGCUGUAUCAGGAAUAUAUAAAUACAUGUAAAAUUCUAUUUUCUAUUAUCGUUUUUCUGUGUCACGUUUCUUUCCAAAACUUAAA